rnacentral:lncRNA from 1 species
AAAAGAAAGCAGGCUGAACAUCGAUGAGGAACAAACCAGUAAGCAACACCCAUUCAUGACUCCUUCAGCUCCCGCCUCCAGGUUCCUGCCCUGGUUGAGUUCCUCCUAACUUCCUUCAAUGAUGAACAGUGAUGUGGACAUGUCCUGCCUCAACCAUAGGUGUGAUAACUUGGAGACAUGAAAACCAGAAGUGAAAGGUCCAGUAUGUUAAUGAUGUCAGAACAGACAGAGCCAAUGUCCUUGAAGUUACUUCAGAGGAGGAGCUACCUGCAACCCUAAUUAUCUCCAGAUGACGAGGUAGCCAGCCAGCUUCUUCUGUCCUCUCCUGGAUUCACCGAACAAACAGUACAGAAACUUCGAGCAGCAUCCGCCUACCCCAGUGACGGAUUCCUCACACUGAUCAAAUCAACACACAGACUGGAGUUUCCUGUUACAGUCUCUUUCUGCUUCAAUGCUCUACUCCUCCUGGGCUGUACAAAACUGGGCAGUGGAUCUCUCUGGCCAGCCUGGUCUACAGAGUGAGUUCCUGGACAUCCAAAGCUUCACAGAGAAACCCUGUCUUGA